GUACUAGAACUUUUCAUAAAACGUCUUUGCACUUGGUGUACAGCGGCCAUAAGCAACGGCGGCCUCAAGCACGACCAGAGCCAACUCUCUGCAAGGGAGCCUUCGUAUCCUUAUCUGCUUACGGUUACGAUACUGGUUAGGCUUAUCUCUGAACCCAAACAGGGGCCAAACUACUGCACCGCCGGCGCCGACAAGGUGUUCGGGCGCGACAUCGUGAAUGCCCACUACAAGGCUUGCCUCUACGUCGGGAUCAACAUCAGCGGUAUCAACUGGGAGGUCAUGCCCGACCAGUGGGAGUUCCAUGUCGGGCCGUCCCAACCAGCACCAGUUUCUAUUGCUGCUACCGCCGGCGAUGCGGAGAAGUCCACGGCGACGGCUGGGGCGCAGUCCGCGAUGACCCCAGUGCCUGCGAAUAUCAACCCUGGCCCAGUCAGGUCGGGAUCCUGCCGGAUCCAUGCGCACCGGUGCUCACGCGGGACGGUAGAUGCAGCAGGGGUGCAUUGGAUGGUGGGCGGCGACGACGACGUCAGAGUUGGUGGUGAAGGGUUCGCGCUGGGUGGUGGAGAUGUUGGCGAGGGCUAG
rnacentral:rRNA from 1 species